rnacentral:rRNA from 1 species
UACAGAGGUCCCAAGCGUUGUUCGGAUUCACUGGGCGUAAAGGGUGCGUAGGCGGUCGGGUAAGUCUGGCGUGAAAUCUCCAAGCCUAACUUGGAAACUGCGUUGGAUACUAUCCGGCUCGAGGAAUGGAGGGGAGACUGGAAUACUUGGUGUAGUAGUGAAAUGCGUAGAUAUCAAGUGGAACACCAGUGGCGAAGGCGAGUCUCUGGACAUUUCCUGACGCUGAGGCACGAAAGCCAGGGGAGCAAACGGG